rnacentral:rRNA from 1 species
CCAAGAAUAUUGCGCAAUGGGCGAAAGCCUGACGCAGCGACACCGCGUGCGGGAAGAAGGCCUUAGGGUCGUAAACCGCUGUGGUAGGGGAAGAAGAUCCGCAAGGGUUUGACGGUACCCUACUAGAAAGUGGCUGCUAACUACGUGCCAGAAGCAUCGGUCAUACGUAGGCCACAAGCAUUAUCCGGAUUUACUGGGCGUAAAGGGACGCGUAGGCGGACUGGUAAGUUGUGUUUAAAAUCCUCUUGCUCAACGAGAGGCCGGGCGCAAUACUACCAGCCUAUGAGUUUUCUUCAGGGAAGUGGAACGUUCUUUGUAGCGGUAAAAUGCGUUGAUAAAGAACGGAACACCAAUGGCGAAGGCAACUUCCUGGAAGUUUACUGACGCUGAGGCUCGAAAGCUAGGGGAGCGAAAGGG